GAAAAGUAUCAAAUGUUGAGGAAGACCCUCAAUUUCUAUUGUUAUUAGCUUUCUGUUUCUGUACACAUUAUCAUGCAAUUCCAUAUCAUAAAUGUGUAUGUUUAUUUAAAGGGACACACUAAGGACCUGAAGAACUACAGCUUAAUGUAGUGGUUCUGGUGCAAACAGCCUGUGCUUGCAGGCUAACAAUUCUAAACACUUCUAUUUCUGAGAAAAGGCAGAGUUCAUAUUUGUC